CCCUGAGGGGGGGCAGGGGGGCGGCCGCCCCGGGCCCCCAAUGUCCAGGGGCCCCCAUCUAGGUACGUACGUAGGCCUACGAUGAGCGCAUGUCGCGCAGUUGGCUAGCCCAUGCCCGGAGCCGUCGAAUCUACGCUAGGUUGGCAAUCAAUCACCGUAUGCAGCUUGGUAGCCCACGCACGAGCACAUCCACUCCUUCGGUGAGGGCCCUGUAGUCAUAGGCUCGUACGAGUUGAUUGCGUGACGCCCGUUCAGUUUCCUAAUUCCCAUCUAAAAAGAAGUUCUGAGAUCUGAUUGCGAGUUCACGUCUUCGAGUAUCCCCCAACCACGAUCAUGAUCUCUGGACGCGAACGCGAGUCGCUGUUUCACGGAUGAACUCUAUUCUUCCACCUCUACUCCAGGCCAGUGCCAGAUUGCGCCAUCACCCUGACAUCGCCGAGCGCAUGCCGCGGACGCAUAUACAGAUCGCGUCAUCGCCGAGCGCCGGAUGGGACAAUCACCGGCAGUGAUUCAGCCGAUCCAAGGCCAAAAUCGCGGGAGAUCACCGGCGAUUGCAGGAGAUCAUGAUGAUUUAGGCUAAAAUUUUGGUGCAAAUUUGGCUGCCGCAAUUUCCUUUCUCCGGCAAUUUUAAUAGAACUGCAAAGAUUGGAGUUGUGCCAUGUCGUCUACAACUUCCGAAGGGCUCCCUGGUUCACCCAGUUUUCCAUGUCUCACGACUCAAAGCAGCGCAUCUUCGUCUCGAGCAGCUGGUGAGCGCACUACCUUCUAAUGACACUGAGUUCCAGGUUUCUUUGGAGGUGCUCGAGUAUCACUCACGCAAGACGACCAACAAGAUGGUGCGACAAGGACUAAUCCACUAGACAGGGGCACCAGUCGAUGACACCACCUGGGAAGACCUUGAAGAUCUCCACCGGCGCUUCCCACGACUCCAGCCUGGGUGCCACUGCAGAUCAUAUGCCAAUGCGACAAGCACACCAGGCGUAAGACGGUGAACCAAGGGCUCACACACUGGUUGCACUCCACAACAGACAAAGCCACCUGGUAAGACAUCGGUCGCCUCGGGCAACACUUUCCCGACGCUCCGGGUGUGGACAUGUCGGAAUUCAAGGAGAGGGGAUUGUCAAGGAGUCAUCGAGCGUGUAACUAACACUGGUUCUUGUAUUAGGGAGUGUUGGAUCCUAGUUUCCUCUAUCACAGAUUCAGAGACCAAAUGUUCAAAGUAGAAUUCAGAGUUUCUCACUGGACUAAUGUACAAGAUCAUUUUAUUGCUAUCUUCUACUAAAAGAAUAAAAGGUUCGACAGUUA